rnacentral:rRNA from 1 species
UGGGGAAUUUUGGACAAUGGGCGAAAGCCUGAUCCAGCAAUGCCGCGUGUGUGAAGAAGGCCUUCGGGUUGUAAAGCACUUUUGUCCGGAAAGAAAUCCUUGGCUCUAAUACAGUCGGGGGAUGACGGUACCGGAAGAAUAAGCACCGGCUAACUACGUGCCAGCAGCCGCGGUAAUACGUAGGGUGCAAGCGUUAAUCGGAAUUACUGGGCGUAAAGCGUGCGCAGGCGGUUUGCUAAGACCGAUGUGAAAUCCCCGGGCUCAACCUGGGAACUGCAUUGGUGACUGGCAGGCUAGAGUAUGGCAGAGGGGGGUAGAAUUCCACGUGUGGCAGUGAAAUGCGUAGAGAUGUGGAGGAAUACCGAUGGCGAAGGCAGCCCCCUGGGCCAAUACUGGCGCUCAUGCACGAAAGCGUGGGGAGCAAACAGGAUUAGAUACCCUGGUAGUCCGCGCCCUAAACGAUGUCAACUAGUUGUUGGGGAUUCAUUUCCUUAGUAACGUAGCUAACGCGUGAAGUUGACCGCCUGGGGAGUACGGUCGCAAGAUUAAAACUCAAAGGAAUUGACGGGGUCAUAGCUGUUUCCU